rnacentral:rRNA from 1 species
UACAGAGGGCGCGAGCGUUGUUCGGAUUUACUGGGCGUAAAGGGCGCGUAGGCGGCGCAACAAGUCACUUGUGAAAUCUCCGGGCUUAACCCGGAGCGGCCAAGUGAUACUGUCGUGCUAGAGUGCGGAAGGGGCUACUGGAAUUCUCGGUGUAGCGGUGAAAUGCGUAGAUAUCGAGAGGAACACCUGCGGCGAAGGCGGGUAGCUGGGCCGACACUGACGCUGAUGCGCGAAAGCCAGGGGAGCGAACGGG